AGUGAACGCUGGCGGCGUGCCUAAUACAUGCAAGUCGAACGGAGUGGAGCACGGGUGAGUAAUAUAUAGCUAAUCUGCCCCUUGCUGGAGGACAACAGUUUGAAAUGACUGCUAAUACUCCAUAGCAAGGGAUGAGACUCUAUCGUAUCAGCUAGUCGGUGGGGUAACGGCCUACCGAGGCUAUGACGCGUAACUGGUCUGAGAGGAUGAUCAGUGACAAUUGAACGUGGACACUGUCCAAACUCCUACGGAAGGCAGCAGGAGGUAAUAAUGCGCAAUGGGGGAAACCCUGACGCAGCAACGCCGCGUGGAGGAUGACACUUUUCGGAGCGUAAACUCCUUUUGUUAGGGAAGCGGUACCUAACGAAUAAGCACCGGCUAACUCCGUGCCAGCAGCCGCGGUAAUUC
rnacentral:rRNA from 1 species